rnacentral:rRNA from 1 species
GACGAACGCUGGCGGCGUGCUUAACACAUGCAAGUCGAACGAUGAAGUUCGGACGGAGGCUUCGGCCAACUGAAGAACGGAUUAGUGGCGGACGGGUGAGUAACGCGUGAGUAACCUGCCUUUCAGAGGGGAAUAACAUUUGGAAACGAAUGGUAAUACCGCAUAAAGUCACGGAACCGCAUGAUUCUGUGACCAAAGGAGCAAUCCGCUGAAAGAUGGACUCGCGUCCGAUUAGCUAGUUGGAGAGGUAACGGCUCCCCAAGGCGACGAUCGGUAGCCGGCCUGAGAGGGUGAACGGCCACAUUGGGACUGAGACACGGCCCAGACUCCUACGGGAGGCAGCAGUGGGGAAUAUUGCACAAUGGAGGAAACUCUGAUGCAGCGACGCCGCGUGAGGGAAGAAGGUUUUCGGAUUGUAAACCUCUGUCCUUGGUGACGAUAAUGACGGUAGCCAAGGAGGAAGCUCCGGCUAACUACGUG